rnacentral:sRNA from 1 species
GGAUGUGAGGCUGAUCUGGAUGCAACGUCUGUCACCCCACCGAUGCCAGGGCUGCUUUGGCUGGCUUGGCGGGUGCCCUGUCCCUCCCUCCCAGCUCCAUGUAUGCCCUCCCUGAGGCUGCUUGCUCCUGGGAGACAAAGAUGGUCCCUGACCAGAAGGGGACCUGUCCUUCAUUAAGGAUAUGUGAGUGGCCGUGCUCCCCUGCUAGAACCUCCACAUAAGUUCUCAAGCGUUCAAGGUCAGCAUCAUUGACUGUAUAGCCAGUUCUAGGUCAGUCUGUGCUACACAAUCUCACUUCAGAAAACCAAAACAGCAGCAAAAGAAUUAUGUCAUAAGACAGUAUUUGGUUGUUU